GCCGGGCGUAGUGGCGGGCGCCUGUAAUCCCAGCUACUUGGGAGGCUGAGGCAGGAGAAUCGCUUGAACCCAGGAGGUGGAGGUUGCAGUGAGCUGAGAUCACACCACUGCACUCCAGCCUGGGCGACAACGUGAGACUCUGUCUCAA
rnacentral:sRNA from 1 species